rnacentral:lncRNA from 1 species
CUGAAUGAGGAAGCUGCUCUCUCUUUGGUCCACUUACAAAUUACCUUUAGGCAUUUUCAAUUCAGAAGUUCCAGAAAACUUGUAGACUGCAUUUCUUCUCUCGAUGGAUGUGGGCUUACCUCAGUAACGGUGUCCUCGGAAAUUGUUCAAAGCCAAGAAUAUCUCAUCUUCUUGUUGCUGGUGUUGUUGCUAGCUCUGCCGUGUUGUACAUGUUUAAAAGACGGGAUUAGUUCCAUAUAAGAUCCUUUUUUGAAUUUUUUACAGUAAUUGCCAGAAACCGACCAUAAAAGUGUGUUGAUAGUUGAUACUAGGGGUAUGAAUACUCCAGUUAAAUAAUCAACUGUUAGACUUCAGCUGAUGAAAAAGUUAGAAUUGUGUACUUUAUUUCGUUUUCUUAUUAUUAGAUAUGAUGUAACUCUGAUACUAG